AAAAAGUCAGCGAAAGAAAAGAGUAAAUAUCAUGUUCGACUUUCAAGAGAGAGCUACCCUAGGCUGAAAGUAGCUUAAGCAAGUGAUAUUGAAGAACAGUCUGGAGAUGAGUAGUAAAAAGCUAUUCCGUGUACGAGCGUUAAUCGUUUGAAGGGUGUAAAGUUUUGAUUUUACACUGAAAAUAGGUGGCACCACGAUGAUUCGUCCUUGUA
rnacentral:ncRNA from 1 species